AUGCUGCAAACGGUCAAAUCUGAACCUUGUCGCUCUUCUUUCCUCGUGGGUAGGAAGCACACCAGCAGGGUGCGUUGCGUGAUUCCACUGUGUUUUUUGCACUUGACUGGGUGGACAAUUGACCGGAAGAUAACUUCGAUUCGCCUGGCCAGCAGGCGUGCGGCGUGCUUAUCUUGUGUGACAACACUACAGAGCGAGUAG
rnacentral:rRNA from 1 species